rnacentral:misc_RNA from 1 species
CCUGGAGUUCAAGUUAUAACUCAGCAUAUCACUAAGCAAAAAUGUGAGCUUAAUGUCUUAUGUUACAACAUACAAGAAGCUACAACAGAUAGACAAUGGUUAGCAAGAAUGAUCUUUUCCAGAAUCAAGAAAAUCAUCAUACAUAACUGCAAACAUUAGAAGUUGUCAAAAAACAAAGCUACCGCCAUGAGGCGGGAAAGAUAAUUCCCCUGCCUCUACCAUUCCUGAUUGUUGGUUAUCAUCAGAAGCACAUAUAUGUAUAGGAAAACUGAUAUUUUUCAAGGGUGCAACAUGGAUCUGGAGAUAAUUUAGUGUGCAAGAAUUUCACUUUCACAUCUGACUUCCUUUGCAACAUAUUCUCUCAAGACAAGUUCCACUUCUUUCACCACUCCUAACCUUCUAAACCACCCAGCUAGUAUUUCUGAAGAUUCUUUGCCAACCAUGAUUCUCUCCCUCUCCAAACCUAUUAGAAAGUCCAAUGCUUCUUUGAGGUUGUUCUCCUUCUCAUAUGCAGCCAAUACCAGGGCUAUACAUUUAUCAUUAGGCUCAAUACCAGCGCUCCUCAUAUUUUCAAAUGCGAUGAGCGCCUGUUGACUUUGCCCUGCCAUUUGAUAAGCAUUUAUAAGGAGUCCACAUAUUUUAACAUCUGGAGGAAUACCUGCAAACUGAAUUGCAUCAAACACCCUCUGAGCUCCAUCAGCAUCACCAACCAUGGAAUAUGCUCUCAACAAUGCCUUGUAAACUUCUCUUCCUGCACAAAUUUCUUGGCCAUCCAUUUCUCCAAGUAAAACCUCCCCUUUUCCAGGCAUUCCUGCUCUGAUGUAGGCCAUGAUCAUUGAAUCAUAUGCUCUUCUAUCCAAUGGGUUCCCAAGCAGCUUGAGCUCUUCAAAAGUUUCCUCAGCCUGCUUAAGAUUACCAGCCUUGCUGUACAUGUAAAUCAUGGUAGUUAAGGUUACUUGAUCAAUUUCGAAGCCUCUUCUCCUCAUGGCAAGGAGAGCAUUUUCAGCAUCUUGAACCUGUUUUUGCUUCCCAUAAAAAUGAAUUACUUUUGUGUAAUCACGAACAUUGGCCUCAAAAGAUUCUUCAAGCAGGGCUAGUUCAGCCACCUGAAUAUAAAGAGGAUGUCCCAUCUUGUUCAAUUGUUUAAGAACAGCAAGCCACUCAGUUCGUCUAGGCUUCAUAAUCCUCACCCAAGCACCCAACAAAUCUGAUAAACUGGCAUUCUGCACUAGGUAAGAAUAGCAAAUUAUCUGCCUCAUGAGGGCCUUACACCGAUUGGUCAUCUUUGGUGGGAGUUCAGCUAUAGCUUGUUUUUGUGCUUCUGUGACAUUAGCGCCAAUCUCAACCCACUUAAACCUUGGUUUCCCUUCUUUGACUUCGAUUUUUCCCAUCUCUUCCACGCUGGGAGCAGCUAAUAAAGGUUGCAUAUGGGAUUCACAUCUAAAAAAGUUUACAGAUUUUUGAAAUAACAAGCUCCUAAGGAAUUGAGCGUAAUUGGGUUUGGUGGAUUCAGUAUUUAGUGGGCAAGUUGGGAAGCGCAAUGGGAGAAGGUUAUCCACACAAAGUGCCAUUACCAGGGCUGAGCAAAAAAAUGCACAAAACAAAGCUAAUUGCAGAUAUGGAGAUAAAGACCGCACAAUGGAGACACAUACGCUAUUGUUCUUUGUUCCUUGCGGAGAUGGUUGGGGCGGUAAGGGAGUAAGACUGAUUCAU